GGCUCCGUAGCUUAGUUGGAUAAGCACUUGUCUAGCGAAUAAGGGUUCGUGGGUUCAAAUCUCACCUGAGCUG
rfam:Aedes albopictus isolate Foshan contig111204, whole genome shotgun sequence.